UUUCCCGCUGUUCAACGGUAGUCAAUCGUGAUUCGAGAUUGACAUCGUCGACUGUUGACGGGCCAGGCCAGUGCUGCUGCAGCAGCAGGUGCAUCACGGAGUAAGAGGUAUAUCGACUUCGAAACCUGUAUAUUGAGGCUGGCACGGGCGACAAAAUAUCAGACUUCUCUGGUGUGAUACAAGUCGUAAAAUGGAUCCAAGGGGCCCUCCUGAGGGGGCCCCUGCCGAGUCUUUCGAGAUAUCCAGCAUCGAUAAGGGAGCUGAUACCUCGGUGAAUUGGCCUAUUGAUCACGCUUUUGCUUCAUCCUUGUGCGAACAAUCGAAGAAACUAAACAACAGGCUUUUGUUUUUGACGGUGGAAUAUGUGGAGGAUCAAUCCCGCUUAUUUCCAACAUACGAACAGAUUUCUCUUUCUCCAAGGGCAGCCUCACCUCUGUCCGAGUUCGAGCAUCGUGUCAGUCCGCUUGAUCCAAACAUGAGUUCUGCCGCUAGGUACUCCCCCACACCAGUCCAACUACCUUCUUCUCCUUUCCACAACUCUGUUGUUGUGCUUCAAGGUCCGUCCUCUCCUUUAAUAUCCCAGCCUGAACCAAAUAUAAGAACGAGCAUCAAUUAUGUGACUCAACUGGCACAUCCAAUCGAUGCUCAAGUUGUACCUCAAACAGAUGCUACUACAGACUUUGUUGGCAAUGGAAAUGAAGAAGGCUUGGUGUCGAGUGUCAGUAGCGAAUUGAUUUUAAUGCAAGAAACUACACCUGAAUUGGAAUCUUCAGCAACUCCCUUAAUGCUAACAGGAAUACCGGGUACAGAUUUUGCUUUGACUAGAGAUUUCUUGGUCAUGCAAGAUGAUCAAAUAAAUGUUAUCAAUACAUUUAAAAAUCAAAAUAUGGAGAUAGAACAUAGUCAUGUUCCUUUACCAUCUGUAAUAGAAGAUGCAAACAAAGAAAAUAACAAUCUUAUUUUGCCAGAAUGUGAUAAAGAAAUUCAACAAAUUACUAGAAAUGUAUCGCCCAGUGAAAAGAAGAAAUCAAUUGAGAAAAAAGAUGUAAGAAGAUCAAAGCGACACAUAACAGAUAAAAAAGAUUUGUGGUGCGACGAAUAUGACAAUAAUUGCACCAAAGAUGACAGCUGUAAUUUGAAUGAUGUAUGCACAAUCGCAGAUCAACCAGUACCAUCACGUGCUGUAGCAACACUGCCAGGAUCAUAUCUUUCAUUAAACAAGUUAUCUACUUCAGAAGCUACAGUGGAUGGCGUAACCUAUGGAGUCUUUGCAAAACGUAAUAUUCGGAAGCGCACGCAAUUUGGACCUAUAGAAGGUGUAUUGUGUCCGUACGACGGCUCGCCCUUUAAAAAUGCUUUACCAUUACUUUACGAAACUGAGACUGGUGAAUUAUUGAAAGUAGAUGUUUCGAACGAAAAUACUUCAAACUGGAUGCGUUUUGUGCGGCCUGCCCUAACAUAUAAAGAGCAAAAUUUAAUCAUUUGCCAACAGAAGGAUGGAAUAGUGUUUCUGACCAACAGAAACAUUUCGCCGAAAGAAGAAUUAAAAGCAGGUCCUAGUAACGAUUAUGCUAGUCGCAGAAAUUUGCCAAUACAUAAACCAGAUGACAAAGAAGCUUCUAAUCAAAUUUCCAUAUGGCCGCGUUUGGAUGGCAGUUACAAUAAUCGACGCGUAAAAAUGUUUCGCGGCAGAAACAUGAAAGAAAAAGAAAAUUCACGGCAGAAUAAUAAGUGUAAUAAGGAAUGGAAAUGUUCUGUGUGUAAUCUGAUUUUCAGAAAACCGUCUCUGCUUAACUUACACACAAUUAUUCAUUCUUCCAACGACAUCAAAAUUGAAAAUCAAACGUCCGCAUGUCCACAGUGUGGACUGGAAUUCCAAAAGCAAAGCGAAUUGGUAAAUCAUGUAUCUCAACAUGGACGAUUGGCACUACCCAAAACGAAAAGAUUAACUCCUUUAAGUACAUACAAGUGUUCAAUGUGUUAUAAACGUUUUGCUACAAAGAUACGUUUACAACAGCAUUGCUUGGCACAUGGUGCUGAGGACCAAAAACCACUGCCAUGCAGUAUCUGCUUGAAACGGUUUAUGAAUAAUUCUGCGUUGUCUGGUCACCUGAAAACACAUAAAGAAAAUAAACAAGUCUUUGAGUGCCCAAUGUGCAGGCAGCUAUUUCGCCAAGGUACAAUGCUGAAGGAUCAUGUUGAGACACACAGAAAUCAAGACGGUAUAUUCAGUUGCCCCCACUGCCAGCGAACAUUCAUCAAGUAUUCAGUUAUUCGCAAACACAUUCGGGCACAUCACUGCGAGAGGAAACACAAAUGUCAGCAUUGUGCAAAACGUUUUCCGACAGUUGAUAAAUUACGAAUGCAUUUACUGAAACAUUCUGAUCAUAGAGAAUUCCAUUGUGCCAAUUGUGGUAAGCGAUUCAAGAGAAAAGACAAAUUGAAGGAGCAUAUGACUAAAAUACAUCACUCUCAAACAGUUAAUGGAGACCAAACGAUACAGAACAAUCAAGCGAAGAAAUUUGUGCCAAAGGUAAAUCCGAAUGAUUACAAUCGCUUUAUUUACAAAUGUCAUCAAUGCCUGGUGGGUUUCAAACGAAGGGGAAUGCUGGUAAAUCAUCUAGCAAAACGGCAUCCUGACGUCGCACCAGAAUCUGUGCCAGAAUUGAACUUGCCUAUUCUGCGGCAAACCAGAGAUUAUUACUGCCAGUAUUGCGACAAGGUUUAUAAAAGUAGCAGUAAGCGUAAGGCGCAUAUUAUGAAGAAUCAUCCAGGUGCGGCCUUGCCACCUAGUAAUCGACAAAAGGAAUCGGAAUUUUCGGGACUGCCGAAUCCGAGUUUUAGCCAAACAGUGGGCAGUGUUACAACUAGCCCUCAAGGUUGUCAGUGGUGUCACAAACAGUAUGCCAGCAAGGCGAAACUCUUGCAACAUCAACGCAAGAAACAUGCCCAUUUAAUGGAGCCGGCGGAUCAAAUACCGCGAUCGCGGAACCGGCCACCGCAAAAUCAAAAUCAACCACCCGCGCUGAACGAUAACAACUUUGUAAUAUCUGAUUACAUACAAGGAUGUGACGUAAACGGAGAUUUUCUCAAGCAAAAAAUAAUCAAAAUCACGAACGACGUUGAUCUGAUAGGCAAUAGUGGUCUGGAAAUGGUUGGCCAGCAAUUUGUGCGUAUGCGCGACAUACGUUGAGGAGAAGCGCGGCAUCCUCGAUACGAGGAUGAGCGUCGCCAAUUUAUCGAGAUAUGAAUCUCGCGAUCUUUGUAUGCAGCCGAGGUAGGCUGUUUUUUUUGCCGCCGUUCCCAAAUCGGGAUCGUUGUUGCCCGAUGAUGAAGCGGCGAGGCAUGUCGCCCGAAAAUAUUUUGGGCUUUGUUGGCGCCGGUGCGAAACACUCGGCGCUGUUUUGUUGGUUGUACGUUAGUCGGUUGACAUUGACGACGGUAACGUGGAUGAUAAAUAGCAGAUUUGUUGGAAAGAGCACGCAGUUUUAAGAAUACCGAGCCUCUCGGAAAAAAAACUGCCUAAAAACGUUGACUGGAAACCAAUGAGGCUCGAGUGUACUUGCGAUGGAGAACAUUGUAGUCUCACACAAUUGUUGAGAGAUUUCUUCUUGAAAUAUUAAAAAUAUCAUAAGGAAAAAAAAGAGAAAAAAAAGGUAGAACAAGUCCUGGUACUAUCGACACGUCCUUUACACUAGGCCUGGUAGUUUUACUUUUAAAAUCUUAUACCAAGCUUAUAAAAUCCGAUGUGAUUCGAGUGUGAAUUAGAUGGACCAAAUUUAAGCGUCAAGUUUAAGAAAAUGUUUAAGCCCGGCUUAAAUUUGGCAGCGGACGAGACCACUGCGUCUUAGAUCAGCGUGAUUUUGUUCCGUACGAUGGUGAUUGUGCGGACGAAUAAUAUUAAAAAUCAUUGUUCGCAACGUAUUUGGCUUCAUUAACGGCGUGCGAUUGUCUGUAGAUUACGUGAAAACUUGCAAGAACUCUGAAAAACUCUGCAAGAAAUCGUCCAUUUCACUUUUGCUCUUUCUCUCUCUCGUAAUUCCAAGAUUUCGUCGUAUUACAUCCACAUUCUCAUUUUAGAAUAAUGUAUAAGUAAAAUGCCUUUAGAUCUCUUCACCGGAACAUACUAUUUUCACGUAAUCAUUUCGUAUUCGCCAAUCUCAUCCACAUAUGAAUCUAGCGUCACAGUCUGAGAGCCUGUUUGAGAAUGGCCGGCUCGAGAUGUCUGGUUUAAAUCAACGCACGGUACUGUAGUUACGUAGCCAAGGAAAUCUUCGUCCUCGUGAUUUUACGAGCAACAGAAGUAACGUACGUGUAUUUUAAGCUGUGUAUACCUGGCCACGCGUUACGCACACGUAAGCACACUACAGAAAUUUCUAACGAUUGUUCAAGAUUGUGUAUUCCGCAACGUCUGAGUUCGGAUAAUUGUGUCUUUUCAUACAUCCUGUGGUAAACCUAUUUGGUUGAUGUAUGUCGCAAAUAAAACUCGCACGAACGAUUUUCACACUCGGAAAAAUUUAUCCAUGAGAAACAACGUUAAAUUUUAUUUUACACACGGUGUAUACACACGACAUACAUUAUCGCAAUUACAAAGAGACAGAAGAUUGUAUGUUUGUCGAUGUCGUUGAGUACAUGGAGGACUGUACUGUAAACAUGACUUAAAUAAAGUUAUUCGAUGAGCGAUAUGACGAAUCGUUUAUUAUAAUUACGUUAACAUCUAUGAACUCUGCGACACCGUAAAAUUGAAGCAUUAGCAAAUACUUGAUAUCGACAAGUUUCUUAUCAGA
rnacentral:misc_RNA from 1 species